rnacentral:rRNA from 1 species
UAUGCACGCUGGCGGCGUGCCUAAUACAUGCAAGUCGAGCGAACGGACGAGAAGCUUGCUUCUCUGAUGUUAGCGGCGGACGGGGGAGUAACACGUGGAUAACCUACCUAUAAGACUGGGAUAACUUCGGGAAACCGGAGCUAAUACCGGAUAAUAUUUUGAACCGCAUGGUUCAAAAGUGAAAGACGGUCUUGCUGUCACUUAUAGAUGGAUCCGCGCUGCAUUAGCUAGUUGGUAAGGUAACGGCUUACCGAGGCAACGAUGCAUAGCCGACCUGAGAGGGUGAUCGGCCACACUGGAACUGAGACACGGUCCAGACUCCUACGGGAGGCAGCAGUAGGGAAUCUUCCGCAAUGGGCGAAAGCCUGACGUAGCAACGCCGCGUGAGUGAUGAAGGUCUUCGGCUCGUAAAACUCUGUUAUUAGGGAAGAACAUAUGUGUAAGUAACUGUGCACAUCUUGACGGUACCUAAUCAGAAAGCCACGGCUAACUACGUG